UACGAAGGGUGCAAGCGUUGUUCGGAUUUAUUGGGCGUAAAGCGCGCGCAGGUGGAAGAGUGUGUCAGAUGUGAAAUCUCGGAGCUUAACUCCGAACGUGCGUCUGAAACUGCUUUUCUAGAGUACUGGAGGGGGAAGGGGAAUUUCACGUGUAGGGGUAAAAUCCGUAGAGAUGUGAAGGAACACCGGAGGCGAAGGCGCCUUCCUGGCCAGUCACUGACACUGAGGCGCGAAAGCGUGGGGAUCAAACAGG
rnacentral:rRNA from 1 species